rnacentral:tRNA from 1 species
GCCUCAGUGGCUCAGGCUCUUUGUGGUAGAGCGACUGCCUUGUAAGCAGUAAGUCGUGGGUUCAAUUCCCACCUGAGGCU